AAAAUGAUUUAAAAAAUGAUUUAAAAAGUGAUUUAAAAAGUGAUUUAAAAAGUGAUUUAAAAANNNNNNNNNNUGAUUUAAAAAGUGAUUUAAAAAGUGAUUUAAAAAGUGAUUUAAAAAAUGAUUUAAAAAGUGAUUCGAAAAGUGACUUGACAGAACAUGUGGUAGACGAACCAAAAGAUGAGAAAAAAAUAGACCCCUUAACAUCAUACAUGAGUAUAAGUACAUCUAAUAAAAACGAUGAAAAUAAACUACCUGAUAACAUAAACUAUGAUCAUAUUAUAAAUAGAAAACGUAGAAGAAAUAUAGAUAUAAAUAACAACAAUAAUGAAGAAGAGGAAUCUAAUGUGGAUAACGUAGGGUUUAGUAAUAAUAAACAAUUAGAUGCGAAAAAGUCAUUUACUUUUGCAACAGACUCGUUGGACACUCUAAAAAAAACGAAUAAUUUGGUUGAAAUUAAAAAAAACAAAGAAGAUGACAAAAAUAGCAGUACGUUAGACAGUAACAAUAUGAAUAAAGGUAGUAGUACUGUCAGUACUAUGGGGGAGGAUGUUUUUUUUUUAAAAAAAAGUAAAGUUGUGAUGACCUUAAAUAAUACGAAAGAUAUGUUGAACACACUAAGUGGUGAUAAUAUUCUAAAUCAAAAAAAUAUAAAUAUUCUUUCAGAAAAUGGUAUAAAUACCAGUUUUAACGAAAGUAAACUAAUUCAACCAAAUAUUGACACAAAUAAUAUACUUUCAUUUAAUAAUAAAAUAACAAAUCAAACAAAUAAUGACCUAAACAAAAAUCAAACAAUAUCUGAAACUGGGCUCUUUAACAACGCGCUUAAUACAUAUACAAAUAAUGCGGUCGAAGUUAUUAACAAAACGGGCGUUGAUAUUAUCAAUAAUAAUAUACAAGUAGUCGAUAAUAAUAUACAAGUAGUCGAUAAUAAUAUACAAGUAGUCGAUAAUAAUAUACAAGUAGUCGAUAAUAAUAUACAAGUAGUUGAUAAUACUAAACAAAUAAUCGACAAUACUAAACAAAUAAUCGACAAUACUAAACAAAUAAUCGAUAAUAACAUAAACACAACAUUACUGACAAAUCAAGGUGCUUUUAAACGGACUAAAAUAAACGAACAAAAUACUUUUAGUAAAGAAACUUUACCGAACGGAUUAAUCAAACCAACCAUGCUAUCUGACCCAAAAGAUUUAACUAUACUAAAUCCGACAACCCAACAAAACAAACUAGUCAUACCAAUACAACUAAAUGCACAAGGAAAUUAUCUAAUUGACAGAAAUAAUUAUAUGAACAAUGAAACCGAAACGAAUAUGAUAAAAAAAGAACAAAAAGUUACUGAUAAAAAAAAUAUUAACAGAAUUAUUACAUAUAAUAAAAAUAUAUUUUUUAAUAACGUAGAUAUAGAUUUAGAUAAAGAUGUAAUAGAUUUAGACGAUUUAAAAAGAAAUUUACUUUUAUGUGCAUUGAAUUUUCAUUUAUCUUAUUGGGCUCAAAAAGUUAUGUUAUUUUAUCCACAUAAUGAAAGUAUUCUUAAAUAUUGUGAGAAAAUUAUAAAAAUAAAAAAACAAUUUGAUGAAACAUAUAACUUUUCUUUAUUUGAAAAUAUACAUAUAUUAUCUAAAAAACUUUUAAAAAAAAUUGAUAAAAAUUAUUGUAUCUAUGAAAGUGUUUUAUUUUUAUCAGCAGAAAAUAUAUAUGUAUUAAAAAAUGUCAAACUAUCCUUAUUUGAUAUGUUUAAUGUAUACCAUUUCUGGUAUCAAAAAAAUAGUUCCAAUGUAAAAAAGGAUUUUCAAAUUUUUAUGUAUACUAACAAAAUAUAUCCAUGUUAUCUAAAUUAUUAUAUGAAUUUGUACAAGAAAUACAGCACACGUGGUGAUAAGCAGAUGCAAAUGAAUGGCCAAUUGGCAGCUGACGGGGGUUCCGACUAUUUAGUAGGCGACAUGUACAAUACUGAAGGUAACUCCAAUAAAAACAUGGACCAACAAUAUGAUUACACUUCAUAUGGUAACAAAAACGAACAAGAAACAGAUGAAAGUGAAGGUACUAGUGAUUCGUAUUAUUAUGAUAAUAAAAGUGAUUAUAACAGUAAUGCCAUUUCGAAAGGAAAAAUGAUGAAGAGGAACAGAUCCGUUAGUCACAGUAGACAAUCUAGCAAUUACAAUAAAAUGGGCUAUGGAAGAUAUAUGGACGAAAACAACGAAACGAAUUACGGAAAACUUAAUAAAGACGAAAACAACUUGAUGGAUAUUUUGAAUUCUACAAGCAGCGAUAUUUCAGAUGUACAAGAUAAAGAUAACAAAACACAAGAUUUUAAUUUGAAUGUAAAAGGAAAAUAUAUUUAUCUUUCUAAUGGAAAAAAAAAAAAAAGUAAAUUAUUUUUACCUCCACAUAUUAAAGUAAAAAAAAUGACUGUUUGUGAAUGUAUUUUACUAGAGUUAACAUUAAAAAGUGAUAUUUUAACUGUUUUAAAGAAAUAUAAAAUUUUUAAAAUGGAAAAAUAUAAGUACUUAUAUACGAAUUUAAUAGCAAUGUUAAAAUAUUAUAAUUAUUUUUUAUCAAAAGAUAUGACAAAUGAUGAAAUAUAUAAUUAUGAAAGGGAGAGGGAAAAGGAAAAAGAUGAUGAUGAAAACAAAAAAUUUAAAUAUGGAAAUAUAAAUGGAACACAAAAAAAUAUUGAUCAUGAUAAACAAAAUAGUACUAAUUCGGAAUUAUUUUCAAAUCGCAUUGGUAAAAAUAAAAUUCCAAUAGAAUCUCAAUUAUCUUCUUCCAAUAAAAAUGGGAAAAAUGAAAAAGUGAUGGUAUUGAAAAGAUUAUGUUGUAAUAAUGUAUUAUAUUAUAUAAACCUUCAGUUGUUAAAUGUAUCUUAUUUGAUAAAAAAUAAUGAAAUAGAAAUAGGUUGUAUUUAUUUAAAUAGUGUAAAAAAUAAUUUAUAUGCUAUGUUUCAAAUACCAAUUAUAUUAUUCGAUGCGUUAUAUAAUAAAAUUGUUACCUCCUAUGAUGAUUUUUUAUUUUUAGAAUUAUUUUUUAGUAGUUCUAUUUUAUAUCACGAAUUCAAAUAUAAGCAAAUAUUAAAAACGAAAAUUAUAUUUAUGCUAUUUAAAAAAUUUUAUUUAUCUGACGAUUUGGAAAAUGCAAUUAAAUUUGCAUUGUAUUUUGAAAAAUGUAGAAUGAAAACUCAGAAAAGUAACAUAUAUAAUGAUUUUAUAUUUCAUAAAAAUUUAAUAAAUAGUUAUACUAAAGUUCAUAAGAAUAUAAUACCACAAGAAUGGAGUAAAUUUUGUCCUAACAGUAUGAACAGUAAUAGUAGUAGUAAUAGUGGUAGUUUUUGGAAUGAUAGUAAUUGUAAUGGUAGUAAUUGGGAUAGUAGCAAUUGGGAUGUAAAUAAUUAUGAAAGUAACAAUAUCAAUAACUUAAAACCUAUAAAAUUUACCAACUCAGAAAACUCAAAAUAUUAUUCAUUUUUUUUUAAAGAAUUGUCUAAAUAUACAAAAUUAGAUAUUAUUAAUAAAAUAAUUAAUUGGGGUAUUUAUAGUUUAGAUGAUAAUGAUAAUAAUUCUAAAAUGGACGAUGCAAAAAAUAAUUACUCACAUUAUUAUCAGGAUCAUCAAACAAAUAAUAAAUAUAAUAAAAUUAGUGAAAUGGAUUUAUACAUGCACAAUAAAUUAAAUAAUGUACAAAAUCGAAAUAAUAAAGAAGAUGAAUAUCUUGGCAAAUCACAAUUUUCUUGUUAUUUUAUAUAUAUGUCAAAAAAAUCACUUUUAAAUGAUUUAACAAAUAUAUACUCAAGUAAAGGAGAAUAUUUUUUUAAAAAAAUUUUAUCAAUAUUAAUAAAUAAUAAUUUUGUUAUUGAAUAUGAAGAAUUACGAAAUAUACAUUUUCACAUGCAUGUAGAAAUAGCUAAUAUAAAUUUAUUUAUGAAAACACAUUUUAAUGAAUAUAUUAAUAUUUUAAAAAAAAAAGAAUUAUAUAGUAAUAUACAACAACCUGAAAAUGAAAAAGACAUUAUAGAUAAAUUAAUAAACGUAAUUAAAAUUAAUGGAAAUGAAACUAUUGCUGUAAUUAAUACAUUAGUAAACAUUAUUAAAAAAAUACAAAAUAAUAUAAUAACAAAUGUUAAUAUAUUUAUGACUAUUAACUUGAGAGACUUAAUCAUAAACACUUUUUAUUUAUGUAAAUAUAUUUUUAAUCAUAAUAAUUUUUCAUUAGAUAUAAUAGAAGAUUUAUAUAAAACUUGUAUAAUGUUUAAUCGUAUUAUUAAUAUGGCUUUUUCUGAUGAUAACCAUUUUUAUCCUAAUGAACAAAUUACAGAUUUAUAUACUUAUGUAAAGCAUAAGUUUACUAACCAAAGUCUAAUCGGUUGAGCGAGUAAUUACAUACAUACA
ensembl:lncRNA